rnacentral:rRNA from 1 species
ACUAUGGAGAGUUUGAUCCUGGCUCAGGAUGAACGCUAGCGGGAGGCUUAAUACAUGCAAGUCGAGGGGUAACAUUAGAGCUUGCUCUAGAUGACGACCGGCGCACGGGUGAGUAACGCGUACACGACCUACCUUAGAGAGGAGGAUAGCCCUGGGAAACUGGGAGUAAUACUCCAUAGUAUUGAAUUAUUACGAUUUUUCAAUUAAAGGUUUCGGCCGCUCUAUGAUGGGUGUGCGUCUUAUUAGCUAGUUGGUAAGGUAACGGCUUACCAAGGCGACGAUGAGUAGGGGGCGUGAGAGCGUGAUCCCCCACACGGGUACUGAGACACGGACCCGACUCCUACGGGAGGCAGCAGUAAGGAAUAUUGGACAAUGGGGGCAACCCUGAUCCAGCCAUCCCGCGUGUAGGAAGACUGCCCUAUGGGUUGUAAACUACUUUUAUUAGGGAAGAAAAUGUGAGAUUUAUCUCGCACUGACGGUACCUAACGAAUAAGCACCGGCUAACUCCGUGCCAGCAGCCGCGGUAAUACGGAGGGUGCAAGCGUUAUCCGGAAUCACUGGGUUUAAAGGGUGCGUAGGCGGCUAGAUAAGUCAGAUGUGAAAGCCCACCGCUU